CCUACGGGAGACAGCAGUGAGGAAUAUUGGUCAAUGGGCGGGAGCCUGAACCAGCCAAGUCGCGUGAGGGACGACGGUCCUAUGGAUUGUAAACCUCUUUUGUCGGGGAACAAAGGCGCCCACGGGUGGGCGGAUGAGUGUACCCGAAGAAAAAGCAUCGGCUAACUCCGUGCCAGCAGCCGCGGUAAUACGGAGGAUGCGAGCGUUAUCCGGAUUUAUUGGGUUUAAAGGGUGCGUAGGCGGACAGUCAAGUCAGCGGUAAAAAUGCGGUGCUCAACGCCGUACAGCCGUUGAAACUGGCAGUCUUGAGUGGGCGAGAGGUAUGCGGAAUGCGUGGUGUAGCGGUGAAAUGCGUAGAUAUCAGGAGGAACACCGGCGGCGAAGGCGGCCUGCUGGACCGCGACUGACGUUGAGGCUCGAAAGCGUGGGGAGCGAACAGGAUUAGAUACCCCUGUAGUC
rnacentral:rRNA from 1 species